GUUGAUUUUGCAGGAGAUUACUGCUAUUAGGAUUCGACUAAGCCAUGCAAGUCCUGGGGUUCUUUGGAACACCGGUGAAAUGCUCAGUAACACGUUGAUAAUCCCCCUUAGGUCAGGCAUAACCUUGGGAAACUGAGGCUAACACCUGAUAAAAAAUUUGUUUUGGAAAGAAGUGUUUUUUAAAAGUAAUGCCUAAGGAUGAGUCAGCGGCCGAUUAGGUUGUUGGUGGGGUAAAGGCCCACCAAGCCCGCGAUCGGUAGGGGCCUUGGAAGAGGGAGCCCCGAGAAGGGAACUGAGAUACUGUCCCUAGUUUUAUGGGGUGCAGCAGGCGUGUAACCUCUAUAAUGCACGAAAGUGUGAUAGGGGGAUCCUAAGUGCUCAGCUUUGCUGGGCUUUUGCCAAGAGUAAAAACCUUGGCGAAUAAGCGGUGGGUAAGACUGGUGUUAGCCGUUGUGGUAACACCAGCGCCGCAAGUGGUAAUCGCUAUUAUUGGGCCUAAAGCGUCCGUAGCAGGUUUUGUAAAUCUUAUGUGAAAUUGUUGCGUUUAACGUAACAGUGUGCAUGAGACUCUGCAAAACUUGGGACCGGGAGGAGUCAAAGGUAUUUUUUUGAGCGGUAAAAUGCUAUAAUCCAAGAAGGAUCACCUAUGGUGAAGGUAUUUGACUAGAACGGAUCCGACUGUGAGGGACGAAAGCCAGGGGAGUGAAUCGGAUUAGAUAUCCGAGUAGUCCUGGCCGUAAACGCUGCGAGCUAGGUGUUGCGCAAUCUUCGAGAUUGCGCAGUAUCGAAGCGAAGGUAAUAAGCUCGCCGUUUGGGAAGUAUGGUUGUAAGGUUGAAAUUUAAAGGAAUUGGCGGGGGAGUAUUACAAGGGGUGCGGCGUGCGGUUUAAUCUAAUUUUAUUUAGAGAAUUUUACCAGGAGUGACGGCAUAAUGAAAGUUAGAUUAAAGGUUUUACUUGAGGAGCCGAGAGGUGGUGCAUGGCCGCCGUCAGCUCGUGCCGUAAGGUGUCCAGCUAAGUCUGGUAACGAGCGAGACCUGUGCCCACAAUUGCUAGUAGGUGCUUUUGCAUGACUGAGCAUAUUGUGGGGACUGCCUUGGAAACAAGGAGGAAGGUGCAGGCUACGGUAGGUCUGUAUGCCCCGAAUCUUCUGGGCUACACGCGCGCAACAAUGGUAGGGAUAAUGGGAUACGACCCCGAAAGGGGAAGUUAAGCCUUGAAACCCUACCUAAGUCCAGAUUGAGGGUUGUAAUUUACCCUCAUGAUGUUGGAAUCCCUAGUAAUCGGGUGUUAUUAGCGCCCGGUGAAUACGUCCCUGCUCCUUGCAUAUACCGCCCGUCAAACCACUCGAGCAGGGUUUAGAUGAGUUUCAGCUUUUUUGGCUGUUCCGAAUCUAAGCUCAGUGAGAAGGGUUAAGUUGUUAUAAGGUA
rnacentral:rRNA from 1 species